rnacentral:rRNA from 2 species
GCCUGGCGGCCGUAGCGCGGUGGUCCCACCUGACCCCAUGCCGAACUCAGAAGUGAAACGCCGUAGCGCCGAUGGUAGUGUGGGGUCUCCCCAUGCGAGAGUAGGGAACUGCCAGGC